AUUGAACGCUGGCGGCAGGCCUAACACAUGCAAGUCGAACGAGUGGCGGACGGGUGAGUAAUGUCUGGGCAACUGCCUGAUGGAGGGGGAUAACUACUGGAAACGGUAGCUACUACCGCAUACUAUCAGAUGUGCCGACAUGGGAUUAGCUUGUGGGUGGGGUAACGGCUCACAAAGGCGACGAUCCCUAGCUGGCCUGAGAGGAUGACCGGCCACACUGGAACUGAGACACGGUCCAGACUCCUACGGGAGGCAGCAGUAGGGAAUAUUCGGCAAUGGACGAAAGCCUGAUCCAGCAAUGCCGCGUGUGUGAAGAAGGUUUUCGGGUUGUAAAGCACUGUUGGUAGAGAAGCGGUACCCGCAGAGGAAGCCCCGGCUAACUCCGUGCCAGCAGCCGCGGUAAUAC
rnacentral:rRNA from 1 species